GUGAUUAGUAAAGGGGAAAUAGAAUAGACGAGAAAAAGUGGGCUUAUGCGUAGUUAAUGUAGAGAGGCAAAAUGCCCACCAUGAACACUUGUCUCUAAUCUUCUCAAUUUUUGAACUUGAGAGAGAGAGAGAGAGAGAGAGAGAGAGAGAGAGAGAGAGAGAGAGUACUCAGUUCCAGAUGCUCUUGCAAUGGGGAAAGAAUUGCAGCAAAAUCUGCAGCAACAGCAGAGUCAUGAGAGUAGAAAUAGAAGAGGAGGCAGGGGAGAAGGUUCCUCGGGUCUUUUCUGUGAGAGGUGUUCGAUGGGAUUAUCAAUAAUAUAUAAGGAGUUAAGUUUUAGAUGUUUUUUCGUUUUGAUUCUCAGUUUGUCUCUUUUGUUAUCUGGGUUUUUCUGGAUCCUCCCUUUCCGUAAGGCAAAGUUAGAUGGCUUUGAUGCCAAAGCUACAAUUAAGCUAAGUGCCACAGUGCAAGCAUACUUUAGACUGCAACAGCCAGUUUCGCAGCUUAUUCCACACAUUGGAAGAUUAGAGUAUGAUAUCACUGAUGAAAUAGGUGUGCCAAAUGCAAAGGUGGCUAUCCUAUCCAUGCACCAAUCAGGUGCAUCUAACUGGACUGAUGUGGUGUUUGGUGUUCUUUCUGACUCAAUAAAUAUUCCAAUAAAUCAAGUGUCCUUAAGUGUGCUGAGGUCAUCUUUAGUUGAGGUGUUCCUUCAGCAGUCCAAUUUGACUUUGACAACCUCAAUUUUUGGGCAGCCUUCUAUGUUUGAGAUUUUGAAGUUUCCUGGGGGUAUCACUGUAAUCCCUGUGCCCUAUGCUUCCUUUUGGCAGAUGCCCCAGAUCCUCUUUAAUUUUACCCUCAAUAAUUCAUUAGCUGAAAUACUGGAUAAUCUCACUGAGUUAAGGGACCAAUUGAAGUUUGGAUUGCAUUUGAGGCCUUAUGAGAAUGUAGUUGUGCAAAUAACAAACGUGGCUGGCUCCACGAUAAAUGCCCCAGUCACUGUUCAGGCUUCUGUCAUAUCAGACCAAGGGAGCCUUCUGCCACAGAGAUUGAAACAGUUGGCUCAAACAAUCACAGAUUCUCCCUCAAAGAAUCUUGGCCUUGAUAACUCAGUUUUUGGUAAAGUAAAGAGUGUUAUUUUAUCAUCAUAUUUAAAAGGUACACUUCAUGCAAACCCUCCAACUCCUUCACCUGCUCCAUCUCCAGAGCCCAGUGAUUAUGCUGAACCUCCAAUUUCCCCAUGUCCUACUUCUUCUCCAUCACCCCUUCCAGCGUCCUCUCCAUCAGAUGAUAGUCCUUCACAUGCAACAAGCCCAAAAAGUGGGCCACACCAUUCUUCGCCUCCUGUAAAUUCUCCAGCACCUUCUGUGGUAACAGCUAAUCCUCGAGCUCGUCACCCUUCUGGACACCAUGGUUCUCCAAUAUCUCCAAGCUCAUCACCAUCUUAUUCUAACCGAAGUCCUUACUUACGUCCAGUGGAUCCCCCAUCACAACUGCCCACGGAUCACUCUCCUUUACCUCAAGUAUCCUAUGGUUCCACACCAACCAAAGGUCCAGUAUCUCAAUCACUUGCUCCAUCUCCAUCUGCACCAUCUCCAUCAUGUAAGUUCAUGGUACCAAGUACCACUUUAUGACUUUCUUUUACCUUUCUCUCCUUACCUCAAUGUGGGUACCGCAUGGAAAAUAUUUGCACUUUGAUGUGAUGGUUUUCUUUCCUUGGGUAAAUUUUAUUUCUUAGUAAUUGUUGGUUUGCAAAUGAGAGAUUAUCUGUAAAAAUAAAUUUUAAAUUUUGACUCAGUGCUUUCUUGAGCAAUAUUGUGCAUGAGUUUUCCAUCAUAUUGUAAUUUGUUGCCUACGAAUUCUUUUUAACUUUUUAAAUUACUUAUGGUUCAUUUGUUAUUCUCAGCUGCUAACCCCCAUACUAUGAUCAGGGAGAAACUGAGCCCUCCUGUUCUCCUAAUAAUAACUAUGUAUAUGGUUAGUUAUUGUUUGUACUUCUUGUUUGUAUUAUUAUGAUGUAUGGAAGCAUUUGAAAAUAAAUAGAUAUUACAAUAUUGGUCUACCCUUGCUUGGCCUUUCAUUGCCCAUUCUAAACUGAGUACAUAUAAAAUGUGCAGUGGUUUUUGUCUACUUUAUAUAUAAAAUGUACACACAUAAAAUGAUAGGGUAGAGCACUGUCAUAAUUUGGACAAAUAGCUUGAUAGUGAGAGUGUUGAGCACUGUCAUAAUUUGGACAAAACUGCAUGUUUCUUAGAGCUCUGAUUAAGUUGGCUUAAAUUGAGAAUAUGAAAGACCAAAUGAAUUGCUUAAAAUUAUCCUUUGUAGUCAGUUUUUAAUAAUGGAUUUUUUGUGAUGACACUGUUAGGAGCCAUGGGAGGGAGCUUUUGGAAGUAACAAUGGCAAUAAAUAAAUUUAGAUGGGAGAGGUCUGUUGCUUGUUUUGUAAAUAUGUACACUAAUAAAAUGAGGUUUAAAAUGGAGUAGUGCUUACUUGCAUAAAGGCAAGUCUUUUCAUUUGUGUGUGUGAACGCAUGUGCACAUAAGCAUAUGAAUUGAGAUGGCAGAUACUAUCUAUUACUGCUUUUGUAACAUGUGUGCUUACCUGCAUAUUGGUAAAUAUGUGUGUAAAAGUACAAGUACUUGUAAGUGUGCCUGCUCGCCACCCCCAUUGCACCACGUGAAUUGAGAUGAGAGGCACUGCCUACUGCAAUAGAUUCUCUAAAUAUGUCCUUGCCAUGAAUGUGGCUUUGUGUUCUUAUAUACAAGAGCGUGCAUGCACGCACAUGAGGAGUUAUCCAUAUGCAUGCCGUAUCAGCAAGUCCUUUCUACAGGGAGAUCUGGUGGUUGGGAUUUUCUGGACUCUUGAUCUUUCAACUUUUUUGUUGAUCACAUUUACAUUUCAUAAUCAUAGACAGUUUCUGAGGCAUAGUUAGAAGAUGUUUGAUACACAGUUUUGCUCUGGCGAAGAUGGUAGAAACUUCUAUGAGAAGUUCGCAAAGUCUUUUUCGUUUUUCUUCAGAAAAUUGACAUAAAUGUAAAUGAAACAAAGAUGAAUUGCAGGUCAAAGCCAAUAAGGUGGCAGGCCUCUCAUGUCACUUCUAGAUUUCCGAUGUCACAAGGAAACAUGAGUUUCUUCUCAAAGGGAACAACCCCGAGACAGUGAUCAAGAAGUUACUACGUAUUGUAGAUUUCAUGAACCUUUUCCUGUUUGUUCCAAGUGUAAAAUAUAUAGGUUCAUUGGAAACAUCUGCAAGACAAUGUUAAGGAAAAAUUGUAAACUUCUGGGGCAAUAGAUUACAUCUUCAUACGAA